rnacentral:lncRNA from 1 species
GUUGGCUAGGAGCUAGAAACAGAACUACGUUGGCUAGGAGCUAGAAACAGAACUACGUUGACUAGGAGUUAGAAACAGAACUACAUUGGCUAGGAGCUAGAAACAGACCUAUGUUGGCUAGGAGCUAGAAACAGAACUAUGUUGGCCUGGAGCUAGAAACAGAACUAUGUUGGCCAGGAGCAAGAAACAAAAUUAUGUUGGCCAGGAGCUAGAAACAGAACUAUGUUGGCCAGGAGCUAGAAACAGAACUAUGUUGUCUAGUUGGCCAGGAGCUAGAAACAGAACUAGGAUAGCUAGGAGCUAGAAACAGAACUAAGUUGGCCAGUAGCUAGAAACAGAACUAGGUUGGCCAGUAGCUAGAAACAGAACUAGGUUGGCUAGGGGCUAGAAACAGAACUAAGUUGGCCAGGAGCUAGAAACAGAACUAGGUUGGCCAGUAGCUAGAAACAGAACUAGGUUGGCUAGGGGCUAGAAACAGAAUUAGGUUGGCUAGGGGCUAGAAACAGAACUAGGUUGGCUAGUUGGUCAGGAGCUAGAAACAGAACAAGGUUGGCUAGUUGGCCAGGAGCUACAAACAGAACUAGGUUGGCUAGGAGCUAGAAAAAGAGCUAUGUUGGCCAGUAGCUAGAAACAACUCUGUUAGCCAGGGGCAAGAACCAGAACUAUGUUGGCCAGGAGCUAGAAAAAGAACUAGGUUGGCUAGUUGGCCAGGAGCUAGAAACAGAACUAGGUUGGCCAGGAGCUAGAAACAGAACUAGGUUGGCCAGGAGCAAGAAACAGAACUAGGUUGGCCAGUAGCUAGAAACAGAACUAAGUUGGCUAGGGGCUAGAAACAGAAUUAGGUUGGCUAGGGGCUAGAAACAGAAUUAGGUUGGCUAGGGGCUAGAAACAGAACUAGGUUGGCUAGUUGGUCAGGAGCUAGAAACAGAACUAGGUUGGCUAGUUGGCCAGGAGCUACAAACAGAACUAGGUUGGCUAGGAGCUAGAAAAAGAGCUAUGUUGGCCAGUAGCUAGAAACAACUCUGUUAGCUAGGGGCAAGAACCAGAACUAUGUUGGCCAGGAGCAAGAAACAGAACUAUGUUGGCUAGGAGCUAGAAACAGAACUAGGUUGGCCAGGAGCGAUAAACAGAACUAGGUUGGCCAGGAGCGAUAAACAGAACUAGGUUGGCCAGGAGCUAGAAACAGAACUAGGUUGGCUAGUUGUCCAGGAGCUAUAAACAGAACUAGGUUGGCUAGUUGGCCAGGAGCUAGAAACAGAACUAGGUUGGCCAGGAGCUAGAAACAGAACUA